rnacentral:rRNA from 1 species
GUAGGUGGCAAGCGUUAUCCGGAAUUAUUGGGCGUAAAGAGGGAGCAGGCGGCAGCAAGGGUCUGUGGUGAAAGCCUGAAGCUUAACUUCAGUAAGCCAUAGAAACCAGGCAGCUAGAGUGCAGGAGAGGAUCGUGGAAUUCCAUGUGUAGCGGUGAAAUGCGUAGAUAUAUGGAGGAACACCAGUGGCGAAGGCGACGAUCUGGCCUGCAACUGACGCUCAGUCCCGAAAGCGUGGGGAGCAAAUAGGAUUAGAUACCCUAGUAGUCCACGCCGUAAACGAUGAAUGCUAGGUGUUGGGGGGCAAAGCCCUUCGGUGCCGUCGCAAACGCAAUAAGCAUUCCACCUGGGGAGU